rnacentral:rRNA from 1 species
AGGGUUUGAUUCUGGCUCAGAACGAACGCUGGUGGCGUGCUUAACACAUGCAAGUCGAACGAGAAAGUUUCCUUCGGGAAAUUAGUAAAGUGGCGCAAGGGUGAGUAUCACGUGAAUAAUCUGCCCUCGAGAUCGGGAUAACAUGGUGAAAACUAUGCUAAUACCGGAUAAGACCACAUUUCAUAAGAAAUGCGGUAAAAGGAGUCUCAAUCUUCACUCGAGGAUGAGUUCGCGCAACAUUAGCUUGUUGGUGAGAUAAAAGCUCACCAAGGCUACGAUGUUUAGCCGGCCUGAGAGGGUGAACGGCCACACUGGAACUGAGACACGGUCCAGACUCCUACGGGAGGCAGCAGUGGGGAAUAUUGCGCAAUGGGCGAAAGCCUGACGCAGCAACGCCGUGUGAGCGAUGAAGGCUUUAGGGUCGUAAAGCUCUGUCAAAUGGGAAGAAUUUUGACGGUACCAUUAGAGGAAGCCCCGGCUAACUCCGUGCCAGCA